GCCAGGUGUAGUGGCGGGCGCCUGUAACUCCAGCUACUUGGGAGGCUGAGGCAGGAGAAUUGCUUGAACCCUGGGGUGCGGAGGUUGCAGUGAGCAGAGAUAGUGCCACUGCACUCCAGCCUGGGUGAAAGAGCGAGACUCUGCCUCAA
rfam:Pan troglodytes isolate Yerkes chimp pedigree #C0471 (Clint) chromosome X, whole genome shotgun sequence.